AUGGCCAUCAUCAAGCAGUCGCUCAUUGUCCUAGUGCUGCUCAUAUGCGGAGCAGGCGGCUCCACCACACCGGCGCCGGAGCCGGCGCUGCUGACGCAGGAUAAUCUGUGUGUCGGCAUAAGCACUACCAACGAAGAGAUGGUCUGCGUCGCCGACGGCGCACUGGCGUGCUUCGCCGAAAAUGUAGUCACCGACGAGCUUACCUUCACGCCAUGCUUCGUCACCGCCGCCGGCGAAUGCUUGGCCAAGGAUAAGGAGGAGCCCAGCAAGAACCACUGCAUCGGCCUAGAGAUCAGCGACCUGAAAUGCCUUGGAGAUAGCGCCUGGACCUGCUACAACAGCUUCACCGGGUACAUCCCUCCCGCCUUCAUCGCGUGCUUCCAAGGCAGAGCCCCCAUGUGCACCCCACAGUGA
rnacentral:rRNA from 1 species